rnacentral:rRNA from 1 species
AUACGGAGGGGGCUAGCGUUGUUCGGAAUUACUGGGCGUAAAGCGCGCGUAGGCGGCUUAUCAAGUUAGGCGUGAAAGGCCUGGGCUCAACCCGGGAACUGCGCUUAAUACUGGUGAACUUGAGUCCGGGAGAGGGUGGCGGAAUUCCCAGUGUAGAGGUGAAAUUCGUAGAUAUUGGGAAGAACACCAGUGGCGAAGGCGGCCACCUGGCCCGGUACUGACGCUGAGGUGCGAAAGCGUGGGGAGCAAACAGGAUUAGAAACCCCGGUAGUCC